AGCGGCGGACGGGUUAGUAACGCGUGGGAACAUACCCUUCUCUAUGGAAUAGCCUCGGGAAACUGAGAGUAAUACCAUAUACGCCCUUCGGGGGAAAGAUUUAUCGGAGAAGGAUUGGCCCGCGUUUGAUUAGAUAGUUGGUGGGGUAAUGGCCUACCAAGUCUACGAUCAAUAGCUGGUUUGAGAGGAUGAUCAGCAACACUGGGACUGAGACACGGCCCAGACUCCUACGGGAGGCAGCAGUGGGGAAUCUUAGACAAUGGGCGCAAGCCUGAUCUAGCCAUGCCGCGUGAGUGACGAAGGUCUUAGGAUCGUAAAGCUCUUUCGCCAGAGAUGAUAAUGACAGUAUCUGGUAAAGAAACCCCGGCUAACUCCGUGCCAGCAGCCGCGGUAAUACGGAGGGGGUUAGCGUUGUUCGGAAUUACUGGGCGUAAAGCGUACGUAGGCGGAUUAAUAAGUUAGAGGUGAAAUCCCAGGGCUCAACCCUGGAACUGCCUUUAAAACUGUUAGUCUUGAGAUCGAGAGAGGUGAGUGGAAUUCCAAGUGUA
rnacentral:rRNA from 1 species